UCCCCGAUUUCCGGGGCAGUCUCCCUAGAGUUCCCGGCCGAACCGUUGGCAACAGGACACAAGGGUUGCGCUCGUUGCGGGACUUAACCCAACAUCUCACGACACGAGCUGACGACAGCCAUGCAGCACCUGUGCAUGCUCCCCUUGCGGGGUCGUCCCACUUUCAUGGUUCUACCACAUGAAUGUCAAGGCCAGGUAAGGUUCUUCGCGUUGCAUCGAAUUAAGCCACAUACUCCACCGCUUGUGCAGGCCCCCGUCAAUUUCUUUGAGUUUCAGCCUUGCGGCCGUACUCCCCAGGCGGGGCACUUAAUGCGUUAGCUUCGGCACGGAGGGAGUCGACACCCCCCACACCUAGUGCCCAUCGUUUACAGCGUGGACUAC
rnacentral:misc_RNA from 1 species